rnacentral:rRNA from 1 species
GGUGAACGCUGGCGGUAGGCCUAAUGCAUGCAAGUCGAGCGGUCGGACAGUAAGAUCUUGCUCUUAAGGGUGGCGAGUGGCGGACGUGUGAGCUGUGCAUCUGUUACUCCUUUUUCGUGGAGCAUCGCGUGGGGCAGCUGACGCUAGUGCCGGAUACGCCCUACCGGUGAGUGCAUGUGUUUUUGGACCCUUUCACGUUUCUGUGAGCCUGUGCCGGAUUAGCUAGUUGGUGGGGUAACGGCCCACCAAGUCGACGAUCCGUAGCCGGACUGAGAGGGUGAUCAGCCACACUGGAACUGAGACACGGUCCAGACUCCUACGGGAGGCAGCAGUGGGGAAUAUUGGACAAUGGGCGCAAGCCUGACCCAGCCAUACCGCGUGGGUGAAGAAGGCCUUCGGGUUGUAAAGCCCUUUUGUUGGGAAAGAAAAGCAGCAGGUUAAUAUCCCGCUGUUCUGACGGUACCCAAAGAAUAAGCACCGGCUAACUUCGUG